rnacentral:rRNA from 1 species
UACGGAGGGGGCAAGCGUUAUUCGGAAUUACUGGGCGUAAAGGGCUCGUAGGCGGCCAACUAAGUCAGACGUGAAAUCCCUCGGCUCAACUGAGGAACUGCCUUUGAAACUGUCUGGCUUGAGGCCAGGAGAGGGUAGCGGAAUUCCCAGUGUAGCGGUGAAAUGCGUAGAUAUUGGGAGGAACACCAGUGGCGAAGGCGGCUACCUGGACCGGUUCUGACGCUGAGGCGCGAAAGCGUGGGUAGCAAACAGG